rnacentral:misc_RNA from 1 species
AAGUCGUAACAAGGUUUCCGUAGGUGAACCUGCGGAAGGAUCAUUAAUGAAUUCUGAAAGGGGUUGUUGCUGGCCUUUUCGUUUGAGAGGCAUUUUGUGCACGCCCUGAUCAUUCUCCAUUUCAUACACCUGUGCACACACUGUAGGUCGGUUUGCGAGGUGGAGCCUUCAUUGGCGUAGCUUUGUAGGCCUUCCUAUGUUUUAUCACAAACUACUAGUUUAAAGAAUGUCUAUUGCGUGUAACGCAUCUAUAUACAACUUUCAGCAACGGAUCUCUUGGCUCUC